CUGGAGAUGAUUAGACCUUUUAAAACCUGAAAUUCUGUGAAGGUUCUGUAUUCAUACUGUCUGAUCCAG